rnacentral:rRNA from 1 species
GUCGAACGAUGAUGCCAGCUUGCUGGUGGAUUAGUGGCGAACGGGUGAGUAACACGUGAGUAACCUGCCCUUAACUCUGGGAUAAGCCUGGGAAACUGGGUCUAAUACCGGAUAUGACCUUCCAUCGCAUGGUGGUUGGUGGAAAGCUUUUUGUGGUUUUGGAUGGACUCGCGGCCUAUCAGCUUGUUGGUGAGGUAAUGGCUUACCAAGGCGACGACGGGUAGCCGGCCUGAGAGGGUGACCGGCCACACUGGGACUGAGACACGGCCCAGACUCCUACGGGAGGCAGCAGUGGGGAAUAUUGCACAAUGGGCGCAAGCCUGAUGCAGCGACGCCGCGUGAGGGAUGACGGCCUUCGGGUUGUAAACCUCUUUCAGUAGGGAAGAAGCGAAAGUGACGGUACCUGCAGAAGAAGCGCCGGCUAACUACGUGCCAGCAGCCGCGGUAAUACGUAGGGCGCAAGCGUUAUCCGGAAUUAUUGGGCGUAAAGAGCUCGUAGGCGGUUUGUCGCGUCUGCCGUGAAAGUCCGGGGCUCAACUCCGGAUCUGCGGUGGGUACGGGCAGACUAGAGUGAUGUAGGGGAGACUGGAAUUCCUGGUGUAGCGGUGAAAUGCGCAGAUAUCAGGAGGAACACCGAUGGCGAAGGCAGGUCUCUGGGCAUUAACUGACGCUGAGGAGCGAAAGCAUGGGGAGCGAACAGGAUUAGAUACCCUGGUAGUCCAUGCCGUAAACGUUGGGCACUAGGUGUGGGGGA